AUCUUAUCUUCCUGUUUGUAUGUAAAGCGUGCGUUUUUAGGAAUCCAUCCACGAUUCACCAUGAUAGUCAUGCUGAAAUAAUUAAUGCCACAAUAGAAAAUUAAGGUGACGUCCAGAGGCUCGUCCAUGCUCGGUGCGACGUCCUGUUGCUGCUGAGGGUUGCUCGACAGAUGAUGAAAUAGCGUCGUGACCGGCGGAUGCCUGGUGGUUACGUGAUGGUGUCCCUUCAGAGUGAGGUCCAUCUCAGCUUCCUGCGGCCGCUCCCUCGUCCCUAGGAUGUCGCUUCGGUCCACAGGACUCGCGCAGAUCCUCGGCGGCGUGGCACAUCGGCACUUCAUCCUAUCGGGUGAUUUGUCCAAAGGUACUGAGUAUCUGCAAACACACAACAGCCUUGGAUUAAAUACAGAAGUUCCUCUCACCCUGGUGGCGGCGGCGGCAGGAUCCUGAAGUCCCUGCAGACUGCGGGCGGCACAGGACCGCCGGUGUCGGCUAAUUUGUCGCUCGAGCUCGCGAGGUUCGCACCUGAUGAGGACGACGGC